GGGGAUUGAACCCAGGAGUGCUCUACUACUGAGCUACAUCUUCACUACAUUUUAUGUUUUAUUUUGAGACAGGAUCUCACUCAGUGCCUGGCCUUUAACUUGCAAUCCUCCUGCCUUAGCCUCCCAAGUUACUGGGAUUACGGGCCUGGGCCAUAGUGCCUGGCCAUGGGUACAAUUUUUUAAGUAUCCCCAAGUAUUACUUUUAAAAGCUCAAAACUGGCAAGUCUCUGCAUACCCAGCAAAUGGGGAUCCCUCCCAGGUGUCAUACUGGGUCACAGCAGGGUGAGUAUUUUGCAGUCACAUAGGAUGACUCUCAUGAAGACCGCGGAACGCCAUCAACCGAUGACAUAAUAGUAACAAUCGUCAUUGAACAUAACUGGAGUUGUGAUAUGCAAAAUGUAUAUACCUUCCCCGAUGACAACCAGAAGAGGGACUUCCCAAGGCCUUUCUAUUAGUUUGGUUUGACAAUAAGACAUUUCCUACUGCUCCUUCCUCUUUUCCUCUUUUUUCCCCCAAAUUUAGCAUAAGAAGCUGAUACAACUUUUUUUUUUUUUUGGUAGGGGCAGAGGGUACUAGGGAUUGAACCCAGGGUCGCCUAACCACUGAGCAACCUCUCCAGCCCUUUAUUUUUUUUUAUUUUGAGACAGGGUCUGGCUAAGUUGCUUAGGGAUCUUGCUAAAUUGCCGAGGCUGGCCUCAAACUUGCCGUCCUCCUGCCUCAGCCUCCUGAGUCCCUGGAAAUACAGUCAUGUGCCACCGUGCCCAGCCCAGCCCUGUAUUUUUUAUAAGCAACUUGAAUCAAAACCACCGUGGGCAUAGCUUCUGAUGUUGCUGGCUGCAAGGGACCCAUGUCUCUUCUUGAAUUGGACACCAUGCACGGCAGUAUUCACCGAGAUGCUGUUCCAUCUCUUUUAAACGGCCGUCUUCCUCUAAGCCACCUGGAUAGAAGGAACCACUCUAUUCCUUUCCUUCUCGAGGGUCACUUGAUGAAAUAACGCUACUCUUCAUUAAUCUGAGAGUUCUUUCCAGAGGUUCAUCCUGCAAAACCUGGAUUCUCUUUAUAGAGUAUUGUUGGUCUAGACGUCCAUGAGGUGUCCUGGCAAGAGCAAAAAACACCUUGCAGUCACAUCUCAUGUCAAGCAUAAGACCAUCACUAAGAAGGAGGCCGUGCAGGGGCCAUGGGGCACACACAAAGGGUACGAAGCCUUUCAGAGCAGGUGGGUGCUAAGGAGUGGCUUUAGGAGAGAAGAUGCUGCUCACCCAGCUAGUGUGUCACAGUGUGGAGGGGACCCUCUCCAGGGCUCCACAUGCCCUGUUGGGACUCAGGGGCCAGAAGACGGUCCAGGCGAGAGGUGAGACUACGGGGAAGAGAAAAAGGCAGCGUGGGAGCUGAGCCCCCAAACUGACUUCUGCGACCCCCCCCAGAACCUGUGAUGAGACCCAUUGGGGCUUCUCCGAUUUCACCAGCAGGUGGCGCCCCGGGCUCACACUCGGGACCUGGCUCCCAUUGCCCUGGAGCUUGGUGAGGCUGGGGGAGCCGGUAGGUGGCACAAGCCCUAGGCUUGUCACCUUCGGGGACGGGGUGCCAAGGGACCCCAGUUGGGGGGGGACCGGCUUCAGUACCUUCCUGCUCUUCUUCUGCUUUGCCUCUGGAGUAGAUGAGAUGUAAUGGAUCUUAUUCUCUCUCCACGGAAAGAGUCCUUGUCAUGACAUGUAGGGAGGUGUCACAAGACCCAGGGCUCUGACCCCUGCAGGGACAGGGCUCAUCGCACCCCUUCCCCAUCCAGGUCACGGUGGGAGGGGUCACUCUGGCCUGUCAGUGUGACCCCCUAGUUGACACUUGGAAAAGCAUCCCUUUGGGGACGUGCUGGGUGGCUUUUUUUUUUUUUUUUUAACGUCAGUCUAGCAGGGGACAGGAAUCACGGACCCGCCUGGCGGUCCCUCCUGGGCUUACGCAGGGCGCCAUCUGCUGACUUGGCCAGCCUGGGUCAAGGGCACCCGCAGCCUGAGAGCCUGGCUCCUCCUGCCCGGAGGCGGGGACCUGGCUGGUGUCCCCAGGCUGCUGGGUAGGCGCCAAGAGCCAACACCCACUCCUAAGGACUCACUGGCUGGGGUUUGUUCCCCGCCCAGACUCUUCCAGGGCUCUAAAGGACAGUCCUCAGAGGGGGUUGAUGGGUGGUGGAAGGGGGGGGAGUAGGGAGGUGCCUGUCAUGUAAGUUGCCCAUUUUAACCAUUUCCAGAAUUCUCACCUUCCCAGACCAAAAUUCCCUACUAAAUACUAACGCCCCGUGUCCCUCCCCCAGCCCCCUGGCAACCACGAUCUAUUUUCUGUCUCUAUGACUCUGACUACCUUAGGUACCUCUUUUUUUGGGGGGGUGGGGGGGUGACAUAGCAGAGAUUGAACUCAGGGGCACUCAACCACUGAGCCCCAUCCCCAGCCCUAUUUUGCAUUUUACUUAGAGACAGGGUCUCACGGAGUUGCUCAGCGCCUCGCUUUUGCUGAGGCUGGCUUUGAACUUGCGAUCCUCCUGCCUCAGCCUCCUGAGCCGCUGGGAUCAGAGGCACGCGCCACCCCACCGUGCCUGGCACCCUAGGUACCUCUUAAGCGUGAAAUCACACCGUAUUUGUGACUGGCUUGUUUCACUCAACCGAAUGUCAGAAUUGCAUUCCUUUUUAUUGAUGAAUAGUAGCCCAUCGUAUGGGGAAGCCACAUUUUGUUUAUCCGCUCAUCUGUGGAUGGACACCUUUGGUUACUGUGAAUAGCACCUCUAUGAACACAAGUAUCUCCUGCUUUCAAUUCUUUGGGGGCAUAUACCCCCAAAGCAGGAUUCUGGGUCCCAUUGCAAAUCUUUUCCAAACAUUCUGCAAACCCUCCAUACUGUUUUCCAAAGCACCAUAGGCCCAUUCCCACCAACAGUACACCAGGGGGUCCCAUUUCUCCAUAUCUAUGCCAAGACUUGCUAUUUUCUGUUUUGGGGGGAUUUUGAUAGGAGCCAUUCUAACAUGAGAUGGUGUCUCCGGGGGUUUGAAGCACCCAGGAUUUCACACUGGUGUUGGAUACUUAGAAAAUCAUUGCAGAGCAAGAGGAGGGACCCCCUCCCGGGGCUGGACUUCUGCAUGCCUCUGCCUAGCUGACCUGCCAAGGGAGCUGCCUCUCCACCUCACCAGCAGGUGGCAGUAGAGACACCACACGUCCACAGGGCUCAGGGGCGUGGCCUCUGCCACACCCGGGUAUUGAGACCAGGGCUUUAGGAAAUCAAAUCCUGAGACCCAGGGGGAGGAUGGAGCCCAGUCCCAAGCCGCAGGUGGUCCCAUCCUCUCUCUGUCCCCAGGUGCUUACUGGUGGAUGCUAACCCACAUCCCGGAGCAAGCUGCAAGGGAUCCUGGUAGAUGUAGCCUUUGCAGGUCAGGAAGGUUCAGAAGAAGGAGCCCAAGUGAAAGGCCACACACCAACGUCAGAUCAGCAAGUACCAAGAACAUGGUGUGGUUUUAAUAUCUCCUAGUGGCUCCCCUAACAUGCCAAUCUCCAGACCUCCCCCCCCCCAGGCAGGCUCCCUCCCACUAAAGGACACUGUACAUGUCACAUUGCUCCUCAUCUGAUGUCCCUACCUGCUCUGCUGCAUGCACCAAGUCAACUUCUCCCAGCUAAAUAUAAAAUGUCCCUUUCUUGCCAGAUGCCGUGCGCUCCUGCCCGAAUCCCACCAACUGGGGAGACGGAGGUAGGAGGUUUGCAAGUUUCAGCCCAGCCUGAUCAACUUAGCAAGACCCUGUCUCAAAAUAACAAUUAAAAGAGCUGGGGGGAAUGUAACUCCGUGGUAGAGCUGAGCCCUCCCCCCCCCGGUUUCCAUUCCCAAUACAAAGCUCUAUUCAUCCUCAGGACAACCCAAAUAUCCGUCAACAGAGCGCAUCCACAGACGGCGGUGUUUUCGCGCCAUGGAAUAUUAUGCGGCAGAGAAAAACAAGCUGACCACCCCAUGCGCCAACAUGCACAAAUCCCCCAGAUAAAACUGUUUGACCAAAGAAGCCAGAGGCAAAGGAGCGCAUUCCAUGUGCUUCCAUUUAAGGAGAGCUCAGAAACAAGCAGAGUCCAUGGAUAGUUAAAAAGGGCUGAGAAGAGCAGGUGGGGAAAUCUUGGCGGGCAGAGGGGACCCAGGAGCCUUCUGGAGGCUGAACAGGCUCCAUAGUUUGGUCAGGAGGCGGGGCGUGGGUGUGCAUGUGUGGAAAAGGGGAUCAAGCUGUAUAUAUUUCACUUUUUUUUUAAUCUCCGGCCGUGGGUUCUCAAGUAUCUGCAGGAAACGUGGGCGACCACCCCCCUGGUGGAACAAACCUGCUUCUAGAAAGUUCCACGUGAGCCCGGGGCUUGCCAUGUGAGUUCUAAAAGCAGAGCCAGGCGGAGAUCAUCAGAUGCAAACCCCAUGCCUCCUCUGGCGGCCCAGCUGAGCCGUGCAGCCCUUGUUGGAAGGAGGCUUCUGCCACGGAGCCACCCACACCUGUCACUCUUCUUUCCCAAAAUUCUACCCUCGGGUAUUUUGUUUCUCAUCCCCCCCCCCAAAAAAAAAAAGACAAAGAUUUCUUUCACCUUGAAGCCUCAGCAUUUUUAAAAUCCUUAAAAGCAGGCCCACGUCCCAUUUAUGUAACUGUGUUUCAUGUGACACAUUGAAACUUUCCAAGGCUGCUUGGUGCAUGCCUUCAGGGGUGGCAGGGGGACAUCUGUGCUUGGAGGUGGGGAGGAGAAAGAAGAUCCUCAGGGGAUACAGCUGGUGGGAUACCAAGCAUGACUUCCACGGCCACAGAGUAGCUGUGUGACCUCAGGCAAUUGCUAAGCCUCUCUGGGCCUCCUGGGUCAGAAAGCCUCCCUGUGAAGGAAGAGGGCCCAGGCUGGGUCCGUCCUGUGCUGAGCCUGCGUGCGGGAAGCCCGGGUGUCCACGGGAAAGUCCUGACACAUCCCGCUUCCCAACGGAGGAGGCUGAGACGAGUGCUCCACGCCACACAGAACCAGGGGCCAGAGGUGGGGACUCGGGCACUCGGGGGCCCAUGUUCGAAGUGUCCCCGGCAUUGGAAGGUGAGAAGAAAACAGGUUCACAAAGGGACAUGCGCUACUUAGCCAGGCUCUGGGGCAAAACACGCAGUCGUCCCAGCAACCGUGGAGGCCGAAGUCAGGAGGAUCGCAAGUUCGAGGCCAGCCUCGGCAAGUUCGUGAAAUCGUGUCUCAAAAUAAAGACAUACUGGGAAGGUAGCUAGGUCGCUAAGGGGCUCCCGAGGUCAGCUGCCUGCACCGAACCAAUAAACAAGGAGCCGGGUGCGGGUGCACACCUGCAAUCCCAGCGACUCGGGAGGCCGAGGCAGGAGGAUCCAAGUUUAAAGCCAGCCUCAGCGACUCCGCCAGACCCUGUCUCAAAAUAAAGAUAAAUAAAUAAAUAAAAAGGGCUGGCUGAAUGAGAUGUCCCCCUCUCGUUUUAAAGAUGAGGAAACCAAGGCCCAGAGAGGUUCCUUAACUUGCCCAAAGUUGCACAGCCGAGAAAAGGAUCCAACAUGCAUUCAGUGAACCCACCAGGUGCCGGGCAUGGUGGAGCACGCCUUUGAUCCCAGGGGUGUAUAUGUAUAUGUGUGUGUGUGUGGGGGGGUUCUCCGGACGCUGAGGCAGGAUACGGCAAGUUUGAGGCCAGCCUGGUGCAACUUAGCAAGACCCGAUCUUGGAAGUAAAAUAAAAAGGUCUUGGGACGUGGCUCCGUGGUGGAGCGGCUCUGGGUUCAAUUCCCAGUACCCACCCCUCCCCCAAAAAAUAGAUAAAUAUCCAGCACAGCUGCCUGGCUCCGUUUUUCAGCCCACCUUGGACAAACUCGUGCCACAGAAAGCCUCCUCCGUCAUGGAGUGGGGACUGACUCAGGGAACGUGGUUCUGAACACCGUCUCUUGUGCGGAUGCAGCUUUUACACCAUCAUAAAGCCAAAAAAAAGAAAAAAACCCUAACUCGAGCCGCCCUGAGUUGAGGACUCUCUGUACGUGACUCAGUGGAGGCUGGUGACACUGCAGGGGACCUGGGACUCCCUGGGAGUCUGUCUCCUCCCUGGGCCCAGUGGACCUCCCAGCCUAUUUUAACUGGCGAUUCACACAGAAAGGUCUCCUGUGCCCCUUCCCAAGGGGACAUGGCACCUCUGUGGGGUGCAGUGGGAGGUGACACCCUGAUAGACCCACUGCGCACUGAAGAUAGGGUCAGUCGGAAGCACUCUACGGUGCUUUGCCUGGCUGUGUAGUAUUCUAUCUAUGAAGAACCAGGAACCAGGGAUCCAAGCCCUGAGGGAGGGUUCUUUUUUUUUUCCUCUUUGAAAAUCAGGUUUCGUUUGCUUUCACAAUUGCUAACAGCCGAGAAUUCCUUGUCCCUAAAUAUUCCAAAUAAGGUAAAAGAGGACCAAGAGUCGAUGUUCAACAAGAGCUUGCUCCUGAUUUGCCCGAGAUCCACUCUCUCCUUUCUUAGGAGCAGAACUCCGACUGGGUUCAAAGUGACCCAGAAGACUCCAUUUCCCAGAUUUCCCCAGCAAUGAAGGUUCCCUGACCCACAAGCAAAAGCCGUUGGACAGGACUUUCAAGAAGGCUCCAAAAAUGCUCUUAAAUCUUCCUCCUGUCUGCAACGUUCCCACGAGGACAGGCAAGCCAGCGGCCACUUGGGGCCCCUAGGGCGGUGGUUCAGCCAUCACUGUGGCACAGCAGAAAGACAAGGCGGAUCGUGGUUUCCUGGUGACACCCCAGAAGGACCCCACCUUGCCAAGGGAGUCCCCGACCUGUGGGAAUCACCUCCUCUUGACCUGUGAGCCGUCAUUUCCCAGGUCUCUGUGGGUGGCAGCUGGACAGGAUUCCUGACCGACAGGCAUCAUUGUCACAGGUCUGCAGUUUUUGCUCCUCCGUGAGAUAAUAGGACUCCUUCUCCCCGGCCCCUCUCCCCACCAGGCCACCUGGUCCCACUCAGACUCACCUGCAAGGCACCGAUGGCCCCCCUCUACAUUGCUGAGAAAGCCAUGCUGCCCUGGGGUUCAGGAUUUCUCACCAUAUUUGGAGAAUUUCCACCUUCUGGCAGGGGGACCGUAGGGGACCGAUGACCCCUGGUUCCCAGUAUUGCACAGAGUAGGGAGAAGAAAACAGUGAAGCCCCUCGUCCAAUCUCUCCCUCUCUGGUUCUAAAAAAUCUCCAGCUAAUAAUGAUUUUUUUAAAAAAAAGAAUCAAAGCAAUACUAUUCCUAAGGGCAACUGAAGCAAUAAAACAUCCAGGAAGCGGUUGUCAAUAUAUUGCGCUCUUGGGCUGUGUUCACUUGAUGGAAUACUAUACACCCAUGCAAAGGUGCCACCGCCACACACAGCAACACAGGGUGGAGCCUCGGACAAAAGAAGUCAGAUUCAGAAGGAAAUCGGUUCAUACGGUCAACUUGCAAACACCAGGCAAAAUUACCCUGUGGGUGGGAUAUGAGGAUACCCAGGGGCUCAGGGAGCCGGGAACAUUCUACCUCUGCUCUGUGGUCACCCAGGUGCGCUCACACUGCGAGACUCACUGAGCUGUGUAAGGAAGAUGUGUGCCCAUUUCUGCGCAUCAGAAACUCCAAUGAAAUUUGCGCUCAGAGACUCGAUGGUGUGACCGAUCAAGAGGACACAGCGUCAGAGGAGCCUGGUGUGUGCUGGGGUCUCCAUAAGUGGCACUGGAAUUGGAGGUGUGGGGGGCUCAAUGGCAAGUGAAGCUCAAAAUAAUGUCAGUUGCUCUGGGAACUUGGGGUACCGUGGCGGGUGACGGGUGGAGGGGGACAUAUAUGGUGUAUGUCCACCCGGGUAGGUGAAAACUCUCCCCAAAGCCACACCAGGAGGCUGUUCCCAGCCGUCGCUUGAGAGGCUCAGCUUGUCUGGGUGUCACAUUCUGCAGACCCGGGUAGGAGCAGGGGCCCGGGAAGGCAGCAGGAACCCAGCAUCUGCAGAUUCUCCUCAACUUACGAUGGGGGUGACACCCUGAUAAACCCGCUGCACACUGAAAAUACGGUCAGUCGGAAGCACUCUACAGUGCUUUGCAUGGCUGUAUAGUAUUCUAUAUAUGAAUCCACCUCCCCUGCCCAACAGCACAGCGUAGCAACGUGGUGCACGGCAGAGUGACAGCCGCUUUCCCUCAUGAUCACGGACCGAGUGGAGAGACAGACCACAAAACCCUAGCCCAGGAAAAGACCCAAAUCCUGAAUUUGGGGGGCAGUAAUACCUAAUACAGCAUUCACACCAUUGUAAAGUCAAAAAGGUUGAAAGUGGACCAACCGUUCAGUAGGGGACCCUCAGUCUGUGCACCAGGCUCAAAUAUAGAAUCGACUCCAUAGGGAGUAUAUACAAUUGUAAUUAAAACAAAUAAAAAAAAUAAAAAAUAAAGUACAUAGAAUUGUUUUCUGUGUUUUAAAUACAUGAAGAAUUCAUGCUUGUCUUAGGUUGUUUUGCGUUGCUAUGACAGAAUACCUGAGACUGGAGAAUUUAUGAACAACAGAAAAUUGAUUUCUUAUAGGUUCUGGAGGUCAGGAAGUCCAAGAUCCAGCAAGGGCCCACAUUGCAGAAGGUGGAGGGUGCUGGAGAGAGACACAGAGAAGACCUGUGAGAACAACACUGACCCAUCAAUUAGGGCACAGCCCUCAUGACUUAAUCACCUCUUGUGGAGCACGGAGGCACACACCUGUCAUCCUAGAGACUUGGGAGGCUGAGGCAGGAGGAUCGAAAUUUCGAGGCCAGCCUGGGGAACUUAGUGAAACCCUGUUUCAAAAUAAAAAGGACUGGGUGUAGAUCAGUCGUAGAGCAUCCUGGGUUCAAUCCCUAGUCCCGAGAGAGAGACCCAGAGAGGAGGAAAAGUGUCACCUCUCAACCUGCUGCUGUGGGGGUUAAGUUCCCAACACAUGAUCUUUAGGGGACACACCCAAACCGGAACAACGUUCUACA
rnacentral:lncRNA from 1 species